rnacentral:rRNA from 1 species
UACGUAGGGGGCAAGCGUUGUCCGGAUUUAUUGGGCGUAAAGAGCGUGUAGGCGGCUUGGUAGGUCCGCUGUGAAAACUCGAGGCUCAACCUCGAGAUGUCGGCGGAAACCACUUGGCUAGAGUCCGGAAGAGGAGAGUGGAAUUCCUGGUGUAGCGGUGAAAUGCGCAGAUAUCAGGAAGAACACCUAUGGCGAAGGCAGCUCUCUGGGACGGUACUGACGCUGGGACGCGAAAGCGUGGGGAGCGAACAGG